GCAACCAAAUAUUUCAACGCUGGCACAGGGGAAAACUUCUAUUGCUAAGCUGGGAUUGGCCACUUUAGCAAUUAGUUCUGCUUGGGACUGUCUGUUAGUAUCUUUGGUAUAGAAAAAAAAAAACUUUAAAAGACAGUCUGAAGACUAAUCCCAGGUGUGCACCUAUUUGAGCAGCUCUUGAGAUGGAAACUUUUAUCCCUCAAGCUACAGCAUUGGAGAGCUUCUAAAGAUACAGAACACUGGGAUCCAUACCCAGACCUACUGACCAGAUGCCUCCAUAAGUCCCCGAAGGAAUAUCAUUUGGCAGCCACUGAUAUAGGGUAAAUAACAUGAAGCUACUAUUUUUUGGUCUGUCCUGUGGAAACAGCUUGCAAUCCUCACAAGAACCUCGUAAUGUGAAUAUGCCAGCGUGUUGCUACAGACCGUGCUUACUUCAGCCAAUUUCUCUGCUGAAUAUCCUCCUUUUACUGAUGAGGAAACCAAGUCAAGAAGUCAUAAAUGACACACCCAAGGCUGGGAAGUGGUUGAGCAGGUAUUUAGACUCAGGUCUAUUUUACUCCUGUGCCUGUGGGCCGUUUUCACAUUCUUUUCAGUUGGACAGUUUUAAAAAUGUGUAAUGUUGCACUCAAAUUAAAUAACCUGAAAUUUUGCAAUUCUGAAAGGGAACUGAUAACUUGAGGCACUAUGUAACUAUGCUUCAACACCUCAAAAAGGCUCCAGCAGGCACUUCUGAAAAUGAUUUUUAAAGCCCUUUUUUACUUGAAUGCUGUUCAACAUUCUCACAACUUGGCUUAUGUUUUUAUGCUGAACAAAUGAUUCAUGACCCUUUAUUCUGGGGGCUGGAUUACUUGAAUCCAAAGUGAUGUGAUGAAUAACAAGGAUCUAGGCGUUGUUGCCCAGUUGAUAGUCACAAAAUACUUGGCCUUAAUAAGUCAGGAAUUAUUUUCCCCAUAUUUCUCGAAUUACAUUAAAGAAUAUAAGGUUUUUAAAAA
rnacentral:lncRNA from 1 species